rnacentral:rRNA from 1 species
UGAGUAACCUGCCCUGGACUUUGGGAUAACCCUCGGAAACGGGGGCUAAUACCGAAUAUGACAUGCUCUCGCAUGGGGGUGUGUGGAAAGUUUUUCGGUCUGGGAUGGGCUCGCGGCCUAUCAGCUAGUUGGUGUGGGUAAUGGCCCACCAAGGCGACGACGGGUAGCCGGCCUGAGAGGGUGACCGGCCACACUGGGACUGAGACACGGCCCAGACUCCUACGGGAGGCA